rnacentral:rRNA from 1 species
UGCCCCCCGGCCCGGGAUAGCCCAGGGAAACCUGGAUUAAUACCGGAUGAGACGGGACCUGCGAUGGCGGGAUCCGGGAAAGGCGCUACGGCGCCGCCGGGGGAUGAGUCUGCGUCCCAUUAGCUAGACGCGGGGUAACGGCCCACCGUGGCGACGAUGGGUAGCCGGCCUGAGAGGGUGACGGCCACAUUGGAACUGAGACACGGUCCAGACUCCUACGGGAGGCAGCAGCUAAGAAUCUUCCGCAAUGGGCGAAAGCCUGACGGAGCCGACGCCGCGUGAACGAAGAAGGCCGUGAGGUUGUAAAGUUCUUUCGGGAGGGGGAACAACCGUGGCAGGGAAUGGCCGCGGGAUGACGUGAAUCCCGGAAUAAGCCCCGGCUAACUACGUGCCAGCCGCCGC